rnacentral:rRNA from 1 species
ACGGGGUGCAGCAGGCGCGCAAACUCUGCAAUGCACGAAAGUGUGACAGGGCUACCCCGAGUGCCGUCCGCUGAGGAUGGCUUUUCUCCACUGUAAGGAGGCGGAGGAAUAAGGAGAGGGCAAGUCUGGUGUCAGCAGCCGCGGUAAUAC